GAAAUGGACCCAAUUCUUCCCUUGUUCUGACGCAGAAACAACAUUGGAUUCCCACGGGGGCAUUCGAUUCCCCUGCAGGUUCCUGCCGGGUUCGGGGCUCCCCUGAUGGGGAACUGCUCAUCUCCUUCUGCGACCGCCCCCCAACGCCACUACUGCCUCCUCUUUGAUAAUGUCUACCCGGAGUGAGAUGAAGGAACAACGGCUCAGACGUUGGUGGGAGCGGUUCAGUACGAAUGUCAAUGAGGGAGAUGGGGAGGGGGAGGACGGACAGCAUUACGGGUUGGGGUGAUGGGGAAGGGAAGAAAGGGAGCAGGAAAGAGGAAAUAGGAGCGGGGAGUGUCUAUAGGUACAGAUUGGGUGAUGGGGAAGGAAGAAAAGGAGCAGGAAAGAGGAAAUGGGAGCGAGGAGUGUCCAUAGGUACAGAUUGGGUGAUGGGGAAGGGAAGAAGGGCAGCAGGAAAGAUAGGAAAUAGGAGCAAGGAGUCUAUAGGUACAGAUUGGGUGAUGGGGAAGGGAAGAAAGGGAGCAGGAGAGAUAGAAAAUAGGAGCGAGGAGUCUAUAGGUACAAAUUGGGUGAUGGGGAAGGAAGAAAAGCAGCAGGAAAGAGGAAAUAGGAGCGGGGAGUGUCCAUAGGUACAGAUUGGGUGAUGGGGAAGGGAAGAAGGGCAGCAGGAAAGAUAGGAAAUAGGAGCAAGGAGAGUCCAUAGGUACAGAUUGGGUGAUGGGGAAGGGAAGAAGGGCAGCAGAAAUAGGAAAUAGGAUCGAGGAGUCUAUAG
rnacentral:lncRNA from 1 species